UAGGGAAUCUUCCACAAUGGACGGCAAGUCUGGAUGGAGCAACGCCGCGUGAGUGAAGAAGGUCUUCGGAUCGUAAAACUCUGUUGUUAGAGAGGAACACGAGUGAGAGUAACUGUUCAUUCGAUGACGGUAUCUAACCAGCAAGUCACGGCUAACUACGUCCCAG
rnacentral:rRNA from 1 species